rnacentral:rRNA from 1 species
UACAGAGGUCUCAAGCGUUGUUCGGAUUCAUUGGGCGUAAAGGGUGCGUAGGCGGCGCGGUAAGUCGGGUGUGAAAUCUCGGGGCUUAACUCCGAAACUGCAUUCGAUACUGCGGUGCUUGAGGACUGGAGAGGAGACUGGAAUUCAUGGUGUAGCAGUGAAAUGCGUAGAGAUCAUGAGGAAGACCAGUGGCGAAGGCGGGUCUCUGGACAGUUCCUGACACUGAGGCACGAAGGCCAGGGGAGCAAACGGG